UCAUAACAGCAACCUUGGACCCCUGCUUCUAUUUAGAUCUGUGCCUCAUGAAAACCCUCGAUCCUCCUUCAGAAAACUAGGAUCUUGGGACAACAUAUUCAUAGGUAUAAUCCAGAUAAAAAUCUCCUGCA